UCAAACUUGGUCAUUUAGAGGAAGUAAAAGUCGUAACAAGGUUUCCGUAGGUGAACCUGCGGAAGGAUCAUUAAAAAAUAGCACUAGCUAUAUCUACCUUGUGUGCAAAUAAUGGAAAGAGAAAAUGGAAUUCAGAACACUUUUUUCUUUGGGAAAGUGUUACCAAAUUCUCUACAAUUUUUAUAAAAAAUAUUAUACAACUUUCAACAACGGAUCUGUUGGCUCUCGCAUCGAUGAAGAACGCAGC
rnacentral:misc_RNA from 1 species